CCUACGGGAGGCAGCAGUAGGGAAUCUUCGGCAAUGGACGGAAGUCUGACCGAGCAACGCCGCGUGAGUGAAGAAGGUUUUCGGAUCGUAAAGCUCUGUUGUAAGAGAAGAACGAGUGUGAGAGUGGAAAGUUCACACUGUGACGGUAUCUUACCAGAAAGGGACGGCUAACUACGUGCCAGCAGCCGCGG
rnacentral:rRNA from 1 species